rnacentral:rRNA from 1 species
UUUAACUGAAGAGUUUGAUCAUGGCUCAGAUUGAACGCUGGCGGCAGGCUUAACACAUGCAAGUCGAGCGGGGAAUGGUAGCUUGCUACCUGACCUAGCGGCGGACGGGUGAGUAAUGCUUAGGAAUCUGCCUAUUAG